rnacentral:rRNA from 1 species
UACGUAGGCAGCGAGCGUUGUUCGGAGUUACUGGGCGUAAAGGGUGUGUAGGCGGUUCUUUAAGUUUGGUGUGAAAUCUCCCGGCUCAACCGGGAGGGUGCGUCGAAUACUGAGGGACUAGAGUACGGGAGAGGAAAGUGGAAUUCCUGGUGUAGCGGUGAAAUGCGUAGAUAUCAGGAGGAACACCGGUGGUGUAGACGGCUUUCUGGACCGUAACUGACGCUGAGGAGCGAAAGCGUGGGGAGCGAACAGG